UGCUACAUAAAAAUAGAAUGAAUGGAUUUAGAGGGAAACAUGUUUUUUCCCGUUUCUAGUUUCCCAUAGAUAAAAUCAUAUGCUAAAAUGUUUUAAGAGUUCUAAAAAAAAUAUUUUCUUUUUAUAUGUAUUAUCAUCCCUUAAUAUAGGCCUAUAUAGUGUUAUUUAACUUCUCUAGAUACUAACAACGCAAUUUCGAAGGAAAAAGAAUAUAUAUAUUUCAUAUUUCUAGUUCUCAAAGUUAAAGAAAAUGUUUAAGUGGAAUACUGUAUUUUUAUUGACAAUGAGCUUCCCUGUCAAUUAUGCUCAAGAAAAAUUUGUCUGUCAGAAAGGGACGUACCUCCAGAGAGACCAACAGAAAUCAACCUCGAAUUGCGCUCCUUGUAGUCAAGGGACAUUCAUGUCUCACGACAACCACAAGUUCAUCUCCUGCCAGCCAUGCACGCAGCCCGAAAGUUUCAACCACGAAGUUAUGCUAAAAGACUGUACCUCAACUCACGACACGGUUAUAGGGUGCCGCGAAGACUACUACCGUGUGGAGCAGAGGUUCGAAGACUUUAUCGAAGGAGAGUGUCAGAGAUGCACGAACUGCACUGUCCAUGGUCUGUACGUAGCGCAAGCCUGUGACGACCAGACGGACACUGUUUGCUGUCCAAAACCUGGGAUGACCAUUCUGAAAGACCAGUAUGGAAAAUACCAGUGCAAAUAAAUAAUUUAUUAUAAAGCGGAUAAUUGUCCACUAUCGCCCUAUUUUUACAUCUUAUUUUAAAUCAAAAAGUUAAAAAAAAACUCUCUGAAUCUGAGUGGAGCUGAUUUAGACUUUUAGAACUCAGCACAAUAAUAUUGGCACUCCCCAUAAAGGACCAGAAAAAGAUACAGAAAAAGAUACUAGACCAGAGCGCCAGAAGCUAAGAGGACAUAUUGUACAAAGAUAUAUAAGAAUAAUUAACAAAGAAUGCUAUAAAAAUGCAUAUCCUUAUACACCGUGUAAAUGUUUGGAAAACAAAAUAUGUAUACUGAGUUUCAGAAAUACCUCAUACCUAUACUAAGCAUGGAAUUUAUUAAUACUCAAUUAUGUAAAAUAUUAAUAAUAAUAAUUUCAUUUUUAUUUAUUUACUUCUUCUUAAUUUACAAUGACAGAUGUUGUAUAGUUUUACUUUGAUUGCAAAUUCUAUUUGUUUGAUAUGAUGUAUGUGUAAAAAUAAAUGAUAACUGGUUAUCUUC